rnacentral:rRNA from 1 species
UACGUAGGGUGCGAGCGUUGUCCGGAAUUAUUGGGCGUAAAGCGCGCGUAGGCGGCCCGGUAAGUCCGUUGUGAAAGUCAAAGGCUCAACCUUUGAACGCCGAUGGAUACUGCCGGGCUAGAGUCCGGAAGAGGCGAGUGGAAUUCCUGGUGUAGCGGUGGAAUGCGCAGAUAUCAGGAGGAACACCAAUAGCGAAGGCAGCUCGCUGGGACGGUACUGACGCUGAGGCGCGAAAGCGUGGGGAGCGAACAGG